CCAAUAGCGUAUAUUAAAGUUGUUGCAGUUAAAAAGCUCGUAGUUGAAUUUCGGGGUUCAUCCGUUGGUCGGGCUUUUUGGUCUGUACUGGCGUGAUGGAUUCCUACCUUCUGAAUAACCAGCAUGUCAUUAAUUUGGUGCGCUGGGGAAGCAGGACUGUUACCUUGAAAAAAUUAGAGUGCUUAAAGCAGGCUAUCGCCUGAAUACAUUAGCAUGGAAUAAUGAAAUAGGACGGCAUGGUUCUAUUUUGUUGGUUUCUAGGAUCACCGUAAUGAUUAAUAGGGAUAGUUGGGGGCAUUAGUAUUCAAUUGUCAGAGGUGAAAUUCUUGGAUUUAUUGAAGACUAACUUCUGCGAAAGCAUUUGCCAAGGAUGUUUUCAUUAAUCAAGAACGAAAGUUAGGGGAUCGAAGACGAUCAGAUACCGUCGUAGUCUUAACCAUAAACUAUGCCGACUAGGGAUCGGACGAUGUUAAUUUUUUAAUGACUCGUUCGGCGCCUUAC
rnacentral:rRNA from 1 species